rnacentral:rRNA from 1 species
GAUGAACGCUGGCGGCGUGCCUAAUACAUGCAAGUCGAGCGAACAGACGAGGAGCUUGCUCCUCUGACGUUAGCGGCGGACGGGUGAGUAACACGUGGAUAACCUACCUAUAAGACUGGGAUAACUUCGGGAAACCGGAGCAAAUACCGGAUAAUAUAUUGAACCGCAUGGUUCAAUAGUGAAAGACGGUUUUGCUGUCACUUAUAGAUGGAUCCGCGCCGCAUUAGCUAGUUGGUAAGGUAACGGCCUACCAAGGCAACGAUGCGUAGCCGACCUGAGAGGGUGAUCGGCCACACUGGAACUGAGACACGGUCCAGACUCCUACGGGAGGCAGCAGUAGGGAAUCUUCCGCAAUGGGCGAAAGCUUGACGGAGCAACGCCGCGUGAGUGAUGAAGGUCUUCGGAUCGUAAAACUCUGUUAUUAGGGAAGAACAAAUGUGUAAGUAACUAUGCACGUCUUGACGGUACCUAAUCAGAAAGCCACGGCUAACUACGUG